CUGAGAGGAUGACCAGCCACACUGGAACUGAGACACGGUCCAGACUCCUACGGGAGGCAGCAGUGGGGAAUAUUGCACAAUGGGCGCAAGCCUGAUGCAGCCAUGCCGCGUGUAUGAAGAAGGCCUUCGGGUUGUAAAGUACUUUCAGCGGGGAGGAAGGGAGUAAAGUUAAUACCUUUGCUCAUUGACGUUACCCGCAGAAGAAGCACCGGCUAACUCCGUGCCAGCAGCCGCGGUAAUACGGAGGGUGCAAGCGUUAAUCGGAAUUACUGGGCGUAAAGCGCACGCAGGCGGUUUGUUAAGUCAGAUGUGAAAUCCCCGGGCUCAACCUGGGAACUGCAUCUGAUACUGGCAAGCUUGAGUCUCGUAGAGGGGGGUAGAAUUCCAGGUGUAGCGGUGAAAUGCGUAGAGAUCUGGAGGAAUACCGGUGGCGAAGGCGGCCCCCUGGACGAAGACUGACGCUCAGG
rnacentral:rRNA from 1 species